UGGGUAAUGACUCUUUUUACUAUGUCUGGUCUUAGUAUCUGGUUACUGUACUGUGUCAUGGUAUCUUGGUAUUAUCUUGUUGUGUGUACUCUACUUAGCCUUGGUAUCUGGUUAAUGUCUCUGGUUACUGGUCACAGUAUCUGGCUAAUGUCUGUUGCUCGUGAACCUGGCCAGAGUAAGUGUAUAAUUUCUCUGGUUUAUGUACUUGGUCAUGGAAUCGGGCUAAAUAGUCUCUGGUUAUCAUACUUCUCACAGGAGUUGCUCAUGGCUCUGGUUUCUGAGCUUGUUGCUAUAUCUGGCUAAUGUCUCUGGUUCCUGUACCUGGUCAUCUUAUGUGUUACUGUACCUAGUCAUGGUAUUUGCCUAAUGACUCUGCUUAUUGUAACUGGUCACAAUAUCUGGUUUGGCUUUUCUUUCUCCCUCUAUUUAUUGAACCUGGUCAUGGUUUUUGGAUUAUAUUUCUUGUUAUUGAACCUGGUUAUGGUAACUAGCUAAUUUUUCUGGUUCCCGUACCUGGUCAUGGUAAGUGUUUAAUUUCUCUAGUUAUAGUAUCUGGCCACUGUAUCUAACUAAUGUCUCUGGUUACUAUAACUGAUCACAAUGUCUGGGAAAUGUCUCUUGAUUACUGUACCCAAGUCAUAGUAUUUGAAUAUUUUCUCUGGUUACGGUAUAUGGUCACAUUGUCUGGCUUAUAUCUCCUGUUCUUCUACCCAGUCAUGGAUCUGGGUAAUGUCUCAAGUUAGUGUAUCUUGUCAAAGUAUAUGAUUAAUGUCUGGUGACUGUGUCUGAUCACAGUAACUGGACAUUUUUCUCUAUGCUGUACUUAUUCAAGAUGUCUGACCCAUUUCCUCUCAUACUAUACCUGGUCAUGGUAUCUGGCCAAUAUCUCUGGUGACAGUAGCUGUACACUGUAUCUGGGCAAUGUCUGUGUUUACUGUGACUGGUCAAAGUUCUAGCUAAUGUUUCUGGUUAAUGCCUCUGCUUUUUGUAACAGGUUGGAGUAUGAUGUAUUGUCUCUACUUACUGUUCCUACUGACAGAAUCUGUUUACUGUACCCAGUAACAGUUUCUGUCUCUGGUUACUAUAUCUGGUCACCAUACCUUGCUAAUGUUUCAGAUUACUAUAUCUGGUCAUAGUAUCUGGCUAAUGUCUCUGUAGACUGGACCUUUUCAUGGUAUCUGGCUAAUGACACUGGUUACUCUACUUGGAUACAGUCUGGGUAAUGACUAUUUAUUUUACUGGUUCUCCAUGUCUUCCUAAAGUCUCAGCUACUGAAUAUGGUUGCAGUAUCUUGCUAAUGUCUCUAGAUAAUCUAUUAUCUAUUCAUGGCAUCUUAUUAAUAUUUCUGCUUAUUGUAGCUCCACAUGUAAUCUAGUUAUCAUCACUAGUUACUGUACCUGGACAUGGUAUCUGGACAAGGCCUCUUAUUAUUGUAACAGGUUGAGGUAUGAGGUAUUGUCUUUUCUUACUAUUCCUGGCCACAGAAUCUCCAUUUAAUUUAGAGCAUCAGGUUGUUGUGUCUAUUUAGUGCACCUGUAUCUGGUAUUAGAGUGAUGUCUCUAUUUACUGUAUCUGGGCAAAAUAUUAGGCUUAUGUCUUUGGUUAUUGUGCUGGGUCAUGGUAUCUGAUAUUAUCUCUGGUUACUCAACUUGGUCAUGGUAUCUGGUUGAUGUGUCUGGUUACAAUACCUGGACAAGAUAUCUGGCUAAUGUCUCUGGAUGCUGUACCUGGGCAUGGUAUCUGGAUAUUGUCUCUGUUGAGUGUACCUAGGCAAGGUGUCUUCAUAUUGUUUUCUGUCAUGGUAUUUGAAUCUGUUUAAUGUCUCUAGUUGCUAUGCUUGGUCAUGGUAUCUAGGUAAUGUCUCUGAUUAUUGUAUCUUGUCACAGUAUAUGGCUAAUGACUCAUCAUGGUAUUGUUCUGUGUACUAUACAUGACCAAAAUGCCUGGAUUCUGUUUCUGUAUAUUGUACCUGGUCACUAUACCUAGCUAAUGACUCUGGUUACUGUAUCUAGUCAUGGUAUUUGAUUAAUGUCUAUGGUUAUUGUCCCUGGUCACAAUCUCUGGUUAAUGCUUUUGAUUAUUGUAACUCAUUGAGGUAUGAGGUAUUGUCUCUGCUUACUGUUCCUAACUGCAAAAUCUGGCUAAGGUCUCUGUUUACUAUACCUAGUCAUAGAGUUAGGAUAUUGUCUCUGUUUACCAUAACUGGUCAUGGUAUCUGGCUAAUGUCUCUGAUUAUUGUAUCUGGUCCCAGUAUUGGAUUCAUAGCUCUGCUUACUGUAUCCAGUCAAAUAUUUGGGUAUUAUUGCUUGUACCUUGUACCUUGUCACAGUGUCUGGAAAAUGUCUCUGCUUACUGUACUGGGUCACAGUAUCUGAAUAUGGUCUCUGUUUACUGUAACUGGUCACAGUACCUGGCUAAUGUCUAUAGUUACUGAAUGCAGUCACGGUAUCUGGCUAAUGUUUCCUGUUGCUAUUCCUCAUCACAGUAUCUGGCUUCUGUGUCUAAUUGCCAUACUAACGCAUGUGGUCAUUGUAUCUGCUAUUGUCUGUGGUUCCCGAACCUGAUCACUAAAUCUGGAUAUUACCUCUGGUUAUAGUGACUGGUUUCCGUAUCAGGCUGAUGUCUCUCUUAACUGUAUCUAGGCACAGUAUCUGAGCAUUACCUACCUAGUUACUAAAUCAGGCCUGGUUACUAUAUCUAUUUAUAGCAUCUAGCUAUUGUCUGUUUACCUGGUCACAGUAGUAGGCUAAUGUCUCUGUUGAUUGUAUUCAGGCAUAGUAUCUGGACAUUGUUUCUCCCUGGUCAUUGUAUCAGGCCUGGAUAUGGGAUCUGUUCACUACAUCAGGCUAUGUCCCUGGUUACUUGAACUGGUUAUAGUAGGAGGCUACUCAGACACUACAUGUUUCAAGAGAUUUGAUCUCAGUGGAGUCUCAAGCUGUUUUCUGAUAAUAAUGUAUUUCAACCUAAUUAUGGCAUACCUGUUAUUUUACCCAGUUUCUUAUGGUUGUUACCUGUUUUUUCAUUCUCUUUUUAUGACCCUGGAAUAAUCUUUUUUUAUAUAAUUUUUUUAAGUUGUAGAUGGACACAAUACCUUUAUUUUAUUGAUUUAUUUUUAUGUGGUGCUGAGGAUUGAACCCAGAGCCUCACACACAUUAGGCAAUCACUUCACCACUGAGCUAUAACUCCAGCCCCACCCUGGAAUAAUCAUCAUACUUUUUUUCACUAUUAAAAAUUUUGCACAGAAAUUGCACAAUCAUCUCCUUAAAUAUAAAAAAUAUAUAAUUUUAUUUUUUGAAAGCUUAUUAAGUGCAACAUAAACUCUUUUCCUUUUUUAGAGUUUAUUUUUUUAAAAAACUUCCUUACUGCCACUGAUUUUUUUACACCACUUUUCCCGAUUACCUUUCUUCUCAUGAUAUUUCUAAAUUGAAUAACAUUUUUAGAAGCUAUUUGGAUCAUACCAUAUAUAUGCAUAUAAAGUAUACUCAUGUAUAUCCAUGAGAAGAUAGGAAAGAAAUUUGAUGCAAAAUAUCUGCUUUUUUCCAUUUUCAUUUUUUUUCAUUUGCUUUAUUUUUUUCUAAAUUGAUUCUGUAGUUUGGGUUUUUAGUAUAUUCUACCAUAAUCUAAGUUAAGAAGUAGCCUAUUUAAAAAUAUCUCCUACUCUACUCUUUUUCCCUCCAAAAAAAAAAUGAUUUUAGAAAAAUAGAGCAAAUGUACAAAAAAAAGUAAAAAUUUAAGUAAAGUUUUCUGAAUCCUACUAUUAUCUAUAAUCAUAAUGGAACAAUAAAAAAAUUUCAAAGAUACAAAGAAAAUAAUACCAUUCUCUUAAAUUUAAAAGUAAAAAAAAAAAAGGUAAAUGAUGAUUAAAUGACUAUUAAAUGCAUAGGGUGAAACAUUUGUUGUUUAAUCCAAAUAAAUACUUGGAUAUAAGAACACUGACUUAUUAAUCUGGAAUUGGAAGCAUAACAUGGAAAUUUUUAAAAUUUUAAGAUAAAUCAAACAUGAAAAAACAUUUUCACACUUUGAAAAAUAUUUUUAUGCUGCUUAUUUAAUAAGUCCCUGCUCAAUUUUCUUUAAGAACUGCCAAUUUAAUUCAAGAAAAUUUUGUACAUACAUGUUGAUGGUUUGAUUAUUUGGAGCAAAAUAACUUAUUGCUUACUUUGAAAUUUUUGAGAAUGUUUUUUAUUAAGCUUGAACCUGUAGUUUUUUUGUUGAUUCACACAAAUAAACAUCCUAACAUAAGAAAUGCUUAAUUAUUGUUAUAACUCAAUAUGGUGAAUUAUUACUUGAACUAUUUUUGCUAUGACAUAAGUUGGUAAUAAAAAUUCCAUGUAUUGGGGAUUACAACAAAAAUAGUCAAGAAGUACUUGAAGAGAGAAGAUAUUAAAUAUUAUUGAAAAUUAUUCUACCAUACAAACACAGACAGUCCUCAAUUUCAGUUAGCUUAUACUUUGAGAGUGACAGACUGAAUUAUAAACUAAGAUAUGGGGCUGGAGAUGUGGCUCAAGUGGUAGCACACUUGCCUGGCAUGUGCAAGGCACUGGGUUAAAUCCUCAACACCACAUAAAGACAAAAUAAAGAUAUUGUGUCCACCUAAAACUAAAAAAUAAAUAUUAAAAAAAAACUAAGAUAUGAAGGAAACCAGGGCCAAAGGAAAGGACUUGGGGUGGAACUGUGUUGCGACAUUAGAUGAGCUAGACUUGGGAAUCGACUAGUAAAAACUGGAUGGCUUUGAGCAAGCAGCAUUUGAAUAGAGAUCUGAAAAAUGAAGCAAAGCCAGUCAUCAAAAAUCUCUAGUACAAAUAUUCUAGAGGAAGAAACAACUAGAGAAAAAAAAUCUUUAAAAAAAAAAGAAAAAAAACUAAAGAGAGACAAGUUUUGAAAUGCUUAACAAAUUAUAAAUAAACCAGAGUAGAGCUGCCCUAGUUAAUAAAUGGGACACAUAU
rnacentral:lncRNA from 1 species